rnacentral:rRNA from 1 species
CCCUUAGAUGUUCUGGGCAGCACGCGCGCUACACUGAUGCAUUCAACGAGUUUCUUCCUGGUCCGAGAGGAAUGGGUAACCUUUUGAAAGUGCAUCGUGAUUGGGAUAGACUAUUGCAAUUAUUGGUCUUCAACGAGGAAUUCCUAGUAGACGUAGUUCAUCAGACUGCAUCGAUUACGUCCCUGCCCUUUGUACACACCGCCCGUCGCUCCUACCGAUUGAAUGCUCAGGUGAGCCAUUCGGACUUUCAUCAUGCUGGUUUCCAGUUUUGAUGAAGGAAAGUCUUGCGAACCAUAUCAUUUAGAGGAAGGAGAAGUCGUAACA